UAAAUAAGAAGCAAAUUAUUGCAGUUAGUUUCGACCUAAAAAUUUGAUCUCAGAAUCCUUAUUU
rnacentral:tRNA from 1 species